CCUACGGGUGGCAGCAGUGAGGAAUAUUGGUCAAUGGACGAGAGUCUGAACCAGCCAAGUAGCGUGAAGGAUGACUGCCCUAUGGGUUGUAAACUUCUUUUAUAUGGGAAUAAAACGAGCCACGUGUGGCUUUUUGUAUGUACCUUAUGAAUAAGGAUCGGCUAACUCCGUGCCAGCAGCCGCGGUAAUACGGAGGAUCCGAGCGUUAUCCGGAUUUAUUGGGUUUAAAGGGAGCGUAGGUGGAUUGUUAAGUCAGUUGUGAAAGUUUGCGGCUCAACCGUAAAAUUGCAAUUGAUACUGGCAGUCUUGAGUACAGUUGAGGUAGGCGGAAUUCGUGGUGUAGCGGUGAAAUGCUUAGAUAUCACGAAGAACUCCGAUUGCGAAGGCAGCUUACUAAACUGUGACUGACAUUGAGGCUCGAAAGUGUGGGUAUCAAACAGGAUUAGAUACCCGAGUAGUC
rnacentral:rRNA from 1 species